GGACCCCUGUGAUGUCUAGCACUGGGCUCUGACCAUUCUUUGAGGAUAAGGUGCCCCCCAGGACCUUUGACACCUGGGGGUCUGAGGGGUCC
rnacentral:snoRNA from 17 species